UUUAUGGAGAGUUUGAUCCUGGCUCAGGAUGAACGCUGGCGGCGUGCCUAAUACAUGCAAGUCGAGCGAACGGACGAGAAGCUUGCUUCUCUGAUGUUAGCGGCGGACGGGUGAGUAACACGUGGAUAACCUACCUAUAAGACUGGGAUAACUUCGGGAAACCGGAGCUAAUACCGGAUAAUAUUUUGAACCGCAUGGUUCAAAAUUGAAAGACGGUCUUGCUGUCACUUAUAGAUGGAUCCGCGCUGCAUUAGCUAGUUGGUAAGGUAACGGCUUACCAAGGCAACGAUGCAUAGCCGACCUGAGAGGGUGAUCGGCCACACUGGAACUGAGACACGGUCCAGACUCCUACGGGAGGCAGCAGUAGGGAAUCUUCCGCAAUGGGCGAAAGCCUGACGGAGCAACGCCGCGUGAGUGAUGAAGGUCUUCGGAUCGUAAAACUCUGUUAUUAGGGAAGAACAUAUGUGUAAGUAACUGUGCACAUCUUGACGGUACCUAAUCAGAAAGCCACGGCUAACUACGUGCCAGCAGCCGCGGUAAUACGUAGGUGGCAAGCGUUAUCCGGAAUUAUUGGGCGUAAAGCGCGCGUAGGCGGUUUUUUAAGUCUGAUGUGAAAGCCCACGGCUCAACCGUGGAGGGUCAUUGGAAACUGGAAAACUUGAGUGCAGAAGAGGAAAGUGGAAUUCCAUGUGUAGCGGUGAAAUGCGCAGAGAUAUGGAGGAACACCAGUGGCGAAGGCGACUUUCUGGUCUGUAACUGACGCUGAUGUGCGAAAGCGUGGGGAUCAAACAGGAUUAGAUACCCUGGUAGUCCACGCCGUAAACGAUGAGUGCUAAGUGUUAGGGGGUUUCCGCCCCUUAGUGCUGCAGCUAACGCAUUAAGCACUCCGCCUGGGGAGUACGACCGCAAGGUUGAAACUCAAAGGAAUUGACGGGGACCCGCACAAGCGGUGGAGCAUGUGGUUUAAUUCGAAGCAACGCGAAGAACCUUACCAAAUCUUGACAUCCUUUGACAACUCUAGAGAUAGAGCCUUCCCCUUCGGGGGACAAAGUGACAGGUGGUGCAUGGUUGUCGUCAGCUCGUGUCGUGAGAUGUUGGGUUAAGUCCCGCAACGAGCGCAACCCUUAAGCUUAGUUGCCAUCAUUAAGUUGGGCACUCUAAGUUGACUGCCGGUGACAAACCGGAGGAAGGUGGGGAUGACGUCAAAUCAUCAUGCCCCUUAUGAUUUGGGCUACACACGUGCUACAAUGGACAAUACAAAGGGCAGCGAAACCGCGAGGUCAAGCAAAUCCCAUAAAGUUGUUCUCAGUUCGGAUUGUAGUCUGCAACUCGACUACAUGAAGCUGGAAUCGCUAGUAAUCGUAGAUCAGCAUGCUACGGUGAAUACGUUCCCGGGUCUUGUACACACCGCCCGUCACACCACGAGAGUUUGUAACACCCGAAGCCGGUGGAGUAACCUUUUAGGAGCUAGCCGUCGAAGGUGGGACAAAUGAUUGGGGUGAAGUCGUAACAAGGUAGCCGUAUCGGAAGGUGCGGCUGGAUCACCUCCUUU
rnacentral:rRNA from 1 species